rnacentral:lncRNA from 1 species
GCACCUUUUUAUUUUCCAGUUUUCCCUCUAUUGUUGUACUCUACCCUCAAAUAUUGGUAAAUCAAGAGGGCUUACAGAGCUAAAAUCUAACAGAUGGCAGUCUAUACCGAGUAAGUACUUCAUAAUAACCAUGUAGAAUGAAAAUAAUUAAUAAGAUUUAUGAUUUAUAAAUAUUUCUGUUUCUGGGAGAAAAAAAGAAUAUACAUGCCUGACUUUGGAUCUGUUCUUGUGCUCUUUUGAAGGGAACAUCCUUCUCUCUCAGAACUUCCCAUGUCUCCAUAUCUAGAUUUCUUCACCAAAGCAGAUAAAGAAUUGGCAAAAAUUAUUGACCAUCAUUGGCAGAAAGAGCUAGAGAUCCGACAAAGAGAAGUUGCAAUAUGUGAAGCCAAAGAACAGAAAGAUAAAGAGUUAGAGGAGAAAAAACACUUCCAAGAAGUUAUGAAGCAAAGAGAAGAGAAAUUGCACAAGCAUACUAAACCCUAUGAGCUUCCUCCCAGGACUGAAGUAAUUUCAUUAGAAAAGACAAUGACUCACAAAAAAACUGAUGUCUACAUGCCAUAAAUUGCUAGCAUGGAAAAGAUCAAGAUGGCUACCUAAAUACUAGAAAAAUGUUUUUGUAAUUAACUUGAGGUUCUUUUUGUUUGGAAAGUUGUUAUCCUGGUGCAAGCUGUCUAAUAGUCAUUGUUUAAUCUUACCUUAGUAGUUAACUCCAAAUCAAAUUUAAAAGAUUUCACUAGUUAUAAAUUUCCAAGACUACAGCUAGUGCUUUUCUCAAUUGAGUCUUCUCCUCUGAAGUAUAGUAUUCUUGAUCAGUCAUUCUCAGAGUGUUGAUAUUCAUUGGAUUAUAUCAUAAAAAUGAACUGAAAAUUAAUUAAUGAGUCGGUCUAUAAGAAUUGUUUUUUCAAACUAGAGUUAUCACUGUCUUAUACAUCUAUAAUUGCUAUUAUUCAAAUAAAAGAACUUAUGGUGUCUCUUUGGAUUUGCAUUUUAUAGUCAAUUUAUCCCAAACUGAACUUUAUAUCAGGGACUUGAACUUGAUAAAUUACUGUACAUAAGCAAAUCUGGAAGUGUCAGUCACCUCUGAUUGGUUUGAUCUUUCAUGAAUGCUAGAGGAAACCUCUGAGUGACAGUGGUUUUACUUUGCCUGAGGAGUUGAUGAGAAUAUAUUUGUAUGAUGCUGGAAUGAAUGGUCAGUACCAAUUAUUGGAGGCAUUCAUCCAAUCAGAAAUUAUUUUAUAAAUGGAAUUUCACUUCACGUGAAGCUUUCAGACUAUGAGCAUCCAAUCAGAAAUUAUUUUAUAAAUGGAAUUUCACUUCACCUGAAGCUUUCAGACUAUGAAUAAGAGUAAAGGGAUGGGGUUCCGGUGAUGCCUUUUAUUCCUUUUCUGAAAAAAUAUAGAUAGCAUAUUUUCCAUUAUUUUUCUUCAAUUUUACACACAUUUUUUUUACACCCAUAUUUUAGUAAUAGUCAAGAGACAGGUGUCAAGUGACUACAUGGGUGAGGGGUCAACAUAAAUUAGUGAAGGGGUGAGGGAAUACCUAACCUAUCUAAAACAUUGCCUAAUACUUGACUACAUUUUGAAAUUUAUGUCAAGCAUUGUAAGAUUAUCUAGUCUUUUUUUAUGAGUUGGAGUCUCACUACACAGUUCAGAAUAGCCUUGAACUCACUGUGUAGCCCAGGUAGGCCUUGAACUCACAGCAAUCUCCCUGUCUCAGCCUCCUGAGUGCUGGGAUUACAGGGGGGCACCACCAUGCCUGGCUGAAAAUUAUCUAGCCUUUGAAGAAGAAGCCUUUAAAUGACAUUUAUUUUUUUUAAUUGGAAGUUCCUAAUUUUUAUAAUGUUGGCAACUAAUUUUUUAAAAUUAUAUACUUUCAGGACUAUAUUUUAUGGAGUUGAGGUAUGAUUAUUUUUGAUAGCAAUAACAUGGUAGAAAAAAUGUUGGAAGUAGGUUUC